rnacentral:rRNA from 1 species
AGCGAACGCUGGCGGCAGGCCUAACACAUGCAAGUCGAACGAACUCUUCGGAGUUAGUGGCGGACGGGUGAGUAACACGUGGGAACGUGCCUUUAGGUUCGGAAUAACUCAGGGAAACUUGUGCUAAUACCGAAUGUGCCCUUCGGGGGAAAGAUUUAUCGCCUUUAGAGCGGCCCGCGUCUGAUUAGCUAGUUGGUGGGGUAAUGGCCCACCAAGGCUACGAUCAGUAGCUGGUCUGAGAGGAUGACCAGCCACAUUGGGACUGAGACACGGCCCAAACUCCUACGGGAGGCAGCAGUGGGGAAUCUUGCGCAAUGGGCGAAAGCCUGACGCAGCCAUGCCGCGUGGAUGAUGAAGGCCUUAGGAUUGUAAAAUCCUUUCACCGGUGAAGAUAAUGACUGUAGCCGGAGAGGAAGCCCCGGCUAACUUCGUGCCAGCAGCCGCCGUAACAC